rnacentral:rRNA from 1 species
CGACCGGCGCACGGGUGAGUAACACGUAUGCAAUCCACCUGUAACAGGGGGAUAACCCGGAGAAAUCCGGACUAAUACCCCAUAAUAUGGGCUCUCCGCAUGGAGGGUCCAUUAAAGAGAGCAAUUUUGGUUACAGACGAGCAUGCGCUCCAUUAGCCAGUUGGCGGGGUAACGGCCCACCAAAGCGACGAUGGAUAGGGGUUCUGAGAGGAAGGUCCCCCACAUUGGAACUGAGACACGGUCCAA